CAAGUGCGUGUUCCACACGUUCUUGAUCUCGUUGUCUGUUCUUCCCGGCAGGCAGGACGCAAUCUUCGACCACCUGAGCAAAAUGGCAUCAUCGAAUUAGGCUUACAGAGAAAUCCAGAGCCACCUAUACGUUACCGCGCUUGAUGUCGGGGCGAAGGUAGUUGAUCCACCUCAAGCGGCAGCUCUUCCCGCAUCGCAGCAGGCCUUUUAAGAUCAGAACACUUGAGCAAAGUCAAUUUAGCUAUCACUCGUCUGAACUCUACUACAAAGCAUUUGAUAGAGCAUGAUGAAACAGGAGGAGGGAGACCUGCAAGUUUAGGAAGAGCACGCCAAUUCCCGUGCCCGUGCCUCUGGAUGUAGGCAAUCAGUCUCAGGUCCUCUUCCUGCGUCCAUGAACCCCUGUUCAGGCCGACCUUCGCGCAGCAGGGCGCUCGUCCUCGACCCAUCUCUCUUUCUCUCUAGUCACACCUUAACUUCCACUUCUAUAGUUGCAGACAACUGGAGGAGUGAGCUCUUAUAUAAAUGGCGGGAGGAGGGAGGCUCACAGCAGCACUUCGAUCACCAAAUCUGGACUCGCAGUGUUAGAUUCUCUCUCUACUAACAAUUGGUGCAGGGGCCACUUGGAUUUGAGACACCUGCCGUGUUCUGCUUCCUGCUCUCUGCCACGAGAGCUUCUACUCCAUGUAUUCAACUGAGUUGGUGGCAGUGUCGCAGCCUUUACCAAUCUACCAAGAAAACAGAUAACUGGGAGAAAACAAGAAAAUGAAGGAAAGGACAGUGACUGGGACAGAACAAGAACUGAUGCAGAGUAAGAAGUAUGAUCAAGUCAAUGUAUCCCCAAUGUACACAAAGACAGCAAUUGAUGCGUGAUAUGAAUGGGACACGUGGUUGUUGAAUCAAUGUAAAUGUGUGAGGCUUGAUAUCACGUGUGAAUGGAAGCAAUGGCUUUGCUUCCUUCUGCAAGGCAAAGACUAUGCCGAUCUCAGGUUGCAUGAUGGGAUGAUCGAAGACAGAGACACCGUUGAUGGAACUUGAAACUUCAGAAAAUUUAGCUUUCAAUAAUCAAACAAAAAUGUUUGAAAGUUCUUCAGUUUUUUGUCUCUCUUGACACCAAUCUUUGAUCUUUUUCCACGGUUAACUUCAGUUUCACCAUGCACCAGGAAAUUUGCUUUAUAUGAUUUCCAAGCCUACGCAACACAUCGAUUUCAAGAAGUGCUAAAUGGAACUUGCUGAAAGAUUUGCAGAAGCUGAAUCGCAUCCACAGUGUAAAAGCCAGAUUCAACUAGUUUGUACAUGGAAGAGCUCAUCAUCUUCUCGCAGUGCAGAAGCCAAGUGAAAGUUUAAUUCAUGUGGCAGGAUCUUAGUUUUCCUUUCCCAGUCCCAGAGAAAGCACACACCACAUAAGUUACAGCAGUAGACCAACAUGAGCUCUCGGCCACCUACUUCAAAAGCUUUGGUUUCACUGCCGUACUUUGUGUAAGGAAAUUAGUGGAUGGACUUUUCUUGUUUAGAGAAAGUCAGAUUGUAUGGAGGUAGAAAGAUGUUGAUCAUUAUGAUUCAACUAGAGGUUCCCACAAAAGCUGGAUGAUUCGUCAAUGAAUGAUGAACACCCUGUCUUUACUUGCCCCAUUCAUCAUAGCCAGAUCAUAGAUUUUCCUUCUUGAACCAAUCAAGAGGCACCAGAGCUUAAACUGCUCUUCUUAUUCUUUCUCUACUAUGCUUUUAAUUGAGGAACAAGUUUACUCUAAAGAUCGUGAAGCACAUACAAACUCCCAGUGACAUCCAAACAUUCUUCGAUUUGACUUCUCUUGUUCAUACAAAUGCAGGAUUUCUGUAGUCCACAUCCAUCUUGUCUUGUGCGAUACCGUGAA